AGAGCGAACGCUGGCGGCAGGCUUAACACAUGCAAGUCGAGCGGGCGUAGCAAUACGUCAGCGGCAGACGGGUGAGUAACGCGUGGGAACGUACCUUUUGGUUCGGAACAACACAGGGAAACUUGUGCUAAUACCGGAUAAGCCCUUACGGGGAAAGAUUUAUCGCCGAAAGAUCGGCCCGCGUCUGAUUAGCUAGUUGGUGAGGUAAUGGCUCACCAAGGCGACGAUCAGUAGCUGGUCUGAGAGGAUGAUCAGCCACAUUGGGACUGAGACACGGCCCAAACUCCUACGGGAGGCAGCAGUGGGGAAUAUUGGACAAUGGGCGCAAGCCUGAUCCAGCCAUGCCGCGUGAGUGAUGAAGGCCCUAGGGUUGUAAAGCUCUUUGUGCGGGAAGAUAAUGACGGUACCGCAAGAAUAACGCCCGGCUAACUUCGCGCCAGCAGCCGC
rnacentral:rRNA from 1 species